CGGUCAAUUAACAGUCUCUGAGUCCUGCUUUCCUUCCGAAACCUCUUUAGAACCCUAGACCGUUACUUCUCCAUAAAAAGACCCUUCUCCGUCGAAAUGCCUGGCGUCGCGGCGGACUCCACCACUUUCGCCAGCGGUGGCGCUUUAGUCCCAUUCGUGCCAGACACCGAAAUUUCCGUGGUGUACCCGCUUCACCACGGCCUAAAACCUCCAAUCUCUCGCGUCUCAAUCUCCUGGGCACGAGGAAACAAUCUCCGCAUCUCGUUACUCCGUAAUCUACCUUCCGAUUCCGACUCCGACUCGGAUGGAUAAUUUUGGGAAAAUAUUGUGGAAUUGGAUCAGGGCAGCGGAGCAGCCGAUGUCAGAGACGCCGAGCAUUGGCGCCGCAUUGCCUACGGCUCCGUCGCGCCUUUCGCGCUCCUUCAAAGCCGCAAGAAUGCAGUUUCGAGUUUUUCUAAAUUACAAUCAAGUCCCUCUCCAUAUGACCUUGACUGGCAAGUUUUGAAUUCUUUUUUCUCUGAGAAUUUUUAUUUAUUUAUUAAAAAUGUGGUAAAUUAAUUUCUUUAGGUGGGAGUAUGUAAUGGAGUAUAGCAAGGACAUAAAUGCACUACUUGGGAAUCCAAAGUCAAAUGAUAGUUCUUUAAUUGAAGACCCUAAAGAAGUUUUGAAGAAAUUUGAGGAACCAACGAGUUUAAAGGCAGCAUGGGAGUUGAUGGAAAUGUUUUAUGUAGACAAAUUAUGUCAGAGCUGGUUACCGGACGCCUUGUCGAUUGGUUGGCGGAUUAUGAUAGUCUAUUAUCAGGUGAUCAGCUGACUGUUCAUUCGAAACUUGUGGAGUUUCAAGGGAAACUAGUUACCUUACAGGCCAUCGAGGAUGAUCCUAAAUAUUGGGAGGUGAUAUCGUCUGACACUAGCAGUUGGUUGGCUAGAGAUUGUGGUGAAACAUUUGCUCAUGCAUGGAUCUCAUCAACUAGAUCAACUUGGCUAUAGAGAGUUGACACUGCUCUGCUGGGAAAAUGUCUCUCAAACGAAUAUUUUGUUGAAUAAACUGCAAGAAUUGUCCAUGGCAAGUGUUCGUCCAAGCUUUGUCGCCGCUGAGUUGCCAGCUGAGGCACUAAACUCUGUUAGGCUGGCUCUUGCCACAACUCUUGGGCGUGCCAUCUUAGAGGAACAAUGAUGCUUUGUUUUUUACGUUCUUGAAGCUAUUAAUGCACUCCCUGGUGACCAGGCAUUCAAGCCACAUGAUCACCAUCAUAUUGAAGAAAUGUUGAUGGUGAAUUUGGGAUUCGCUACAUGCAUGUACAUGUUUGUUUAAAGUUCUGCAUAGCCAAUGUUUCACAAGAGAAACCACUGCUCCUCUACUUGCUAGAAGUAUUGCUUAGAGGAGUCUGCAGUUAUCGAAUCACAUCUUGUUACAAUCAUGUUUGACGUUGUUGUAGAACUACACCACAAGUCUCUGGUUAGCAGAAAAUAUAUACCAUGCCUAGAUGAUAACACAUUUUGCUAUUGAAAUUUUCAUCUGAGUUGUAUCAAUGAUGGGCUGUUAUGGAAAACUCUCAGCUUUUGUUGUAUAUUGGUGUAUUCAAAGAAAUGUUAAUGACCUUAUGUUUAAACCUAA